CAGCAGCCGCGGGAAUACGUAGGUGGCAAGCGUUGUCCGGAAUUAUUGGGCGUAAAGGGCUCGCAGGCGGUUUCUUAAGUCUGAUGUGAAAGCCCCCGGCUCAACCGGGGAGGGUCAUUGGAAACUGGGAAGCUUGAGUGCAGAAGAGGAGAGUGGAAUUCCACGUGUAGCGGUGAAAUGCGUAGAGAUGUGGAGGAACACCAGUGGCGAAGGCGACUCUCUGGUCUGUAACUGACGCUGAGGAGCGAAAGCGUGGGGAGCGAACAGGAUUAGAUACCCCGGUAGUCCCUAUCUCUUAUAC
rnacentral:rRNA from 1 species